rnacentral:rRNA from 1 species
UUCCGGUUGAUCCUGCCGGACCUGACUGCUAUCGGAUUGAUACUAAGCCAUGCGAGUCAUUGUAGUAAUACAAGGCAGACGGCUCAGUAACGCGUAGUCAACCUAACCUAUGGACGGGAAUAACCUCGGGAAACUGAGUAUAAUGCCCGAUAGAACAUUAUGCCUGGAAUGGUUUAUGUUCCAAAUGAUUUAUCGCCGUAGGAUGGGACUGCGGCCUAUCAGUUUGUUGGUGAGGUAAUGGCCCACCAAGACUAUUACAGGUACGGGCUCUGAGAGGAGUAGCCCGGAGAUGGGUACUGAGACACGGACCCAGGCCCUAUGGGGCGCAGCAGGCGAGAAAACUUUGCAAUGUGCGAAAGCACGACAAGGUUAAUCCGAGUGGUUUCUGCUAAAGGAACCUUUUGUUAGUCCUAGAAACACUAACGAAUAAGGGGUGGGCAAGUUCUGGUGUCAGCCGCCGCGGUAAAACCAGCACCUCAAGUGGUCAGGAUGAUUAUUGGGCCUAAAGCAUCCGUAGCCGGCUCUGUAAGUUUUCGGUUAAAUCUGUACGCUCAACGUACAGGCUGCCGGGAAUACUGCAGAGCUAGGGAGUGGGAGAGGUAGACGGUACUCGGUAGGAAGGGGUAAAAUCCUUUGAUCUAUUGAUGACCACCUGUGGCGAAGGCGGUCUACCAGAACACGUCCGACGGUGAGGGAUGAAAGCUGGGGGGAGCAAACCGGAUUAGAUACCCGGGUAGUCCCAGCUGUAAACUAUGCAAACUCAGUGAUGCAUUGACUUGUGGUCAAUGCAGUGCUGC